rnacentral:rRNA from 1 species
CGAACGCUGGCGGCGUGCUUAACACAUGCAAGUCGAACGGAAAGGCCCUGCUUUUGUGGGGUGCUCGAGUGGCGAACGGGUGAGUAACACGUGAGUAACCUGCCCUUGACUUUGGGAUAACUUCAGGAAACUGGGGCUAAUACCGGAUAGGAGCUCCUGCUGCAUGGUGGGGGUUGGAAAGUUUCGGCGGUUGGGUAUGGACUCGCGGCUUAUCAGCUUGUUGGUGGGGUAGUGGCUUACCAAGGCUUUGACGGGUAGCCGGCCUGAGAGGGUGACCGGCCACAUUGGGACUGAGAUACGGCCCAGACUCCUACGGGAGGCAGCAGUGGGGAAUAUUGCACAAUGGGCGGAAGCCUGAUGCAGCAACGCCGCGUGCGGGAUGACGGCCUUCGGGUUGUAAACCGCUUUCGCCUGUGACGAAGCGUGAGUGACGGUAAUGGGUAAAGAAGCACCGGCUAACUACGUG